rnacentral:rRNA from 1 species
GAGUUUGAUCGUGGCUCAGAUUGAACGCUGGCGGCAUGCCUUACACAUGCAAGUCGAACGGCAGCACGGGAGCUUGCUCCUGGUGGCGAGUGGCGAACGGGUGAGUAAUGCAUCGGAACGUAUCCUGGAGUGGGGGAUAACGUAGCGAAAGUUACGCUAAUACCGCAUAUUCUGUGAGCAGGAAAGCGGGGGACCUUCGGGCCUCGCGCUCUUGGAGCGGCCGAUGUCGGAUUAGCUAGUUGGUGAGGUAAAGGCUCACCAAGGCGACGAUCCGUAGCAGGUCUGAGAGGAUGAUCUGCCACACUGGAACUGAGACACGGUCCAGACUCCUACGGGAGGCAGCAGUGGGGAAUUUUGGACAAUGGGGGCAACCCUGAUCCAGCCAUGCCGCGUGAGUGAAGAAGGCCCUCGGGUUGUAAAGCUCUUUCGCGAGGGAAGAAAUUGCACCGGACAAUACCUGGUGUAGAUGACGGUACCUUGAUAAGAAGCACCGGCUAACUACGUGCCACG